GGCGGUUCUCGGGUGACACACCCUGGAAUCGGGCUCCCUCCUCUCUAGUUUUGGGUGACUCACCCAAGAACCGCA
rfam:Myotis davidii contig194613, whole genome shotgun sequence.